rnacentral:lncRNA from 1 species
CUUUUUCAUUUAAAUGUGGUUACGCCAGUAGUGACCUUCUGUAGGCUUUAAACUGUGACUGUAAAGACUGUAAAUUAAAGAUCGUAUACUAUAAUGUAUUUAUUUAUUUAUUAAGUUUGUGUGCAUAAAUGAGAUUUCUAGUAUUCUUCAUUCUCCCAUCACAGUCAUCUGAACACGUGCCCUCAGCUUGUUGCUUGGAUGCAAGAGAAGAGAUGGGACAUGUGGAAGGAAGACAGUGCAAACAGCUUGAAUUAUUGGAUACCCUUUUCCAUGCAAGACUUGGCUUAAGGAAAACACUUAAAUCAGCAACUGGGAGAAGAGCAAACAAUUUUUCAGUUCAUUAUGGAAACAAGCUCUCCACAUGGCUGUUUCAGAAGCAGCAAGCAUGCUAAGGGACUUUGAGAAGGCUGGUGAUACUGAUUUUGCUAUUUUCGGCUGAGAUGUCACCUCAACAAGGAAAAUAUAAAUCACAUAAGAAAGAACGUGAACAGGAAAGAAGUAAAAACAAACAAACAAACAAAAAGCAACUGAGCAAACAACAAACCAAAAAGAAUGCAAGUAUUAAGGGAUGACGUUAUUAAAAUGUCAAGGGCACACCUAAAUACUACCAGAAGAAGGGAGAAGGUGACAGGCAAUGGAGUGCAUCCUUAACUCAGCCACUCUGCUUUGUUAAAUAAGCAAAGAGAUGGGUGUUGAGCCCUGCUGAUGCAGGACAAAGGCACCUGCACUAUGGCCAGGUGCAGCCCGUCCCAUGCACACAUCACCCAACGCUUCUGCCUGCCUAAAUGCAGCAGAAGCACACUCACCUGAUGAUGUACAGGGUCGAAAGACUGCCAGCUCUGAUGAAGGCACCUCGAGUGGUGUUCUGCAUUUCUCCAUCAUCAUCCCUGUCCCUGUGGGCCUGUCUUGGCUGAGAGAAAUGGCAGGGUCCCUUGUGGCAGUUUCAACUGGUGAACCAAGUCUGCCUGAGGACCAACCCAGACCCGCGAUCUCCCUCCUCUCCAUGGUGCUGUCAGGCGCAGGGACGGAUUCACUGUCUGUGCCAGUUGUCAUCAGAUAGAGAAGCACACCAAAGAGCAAUAAAUCAAUCUUUUGGUGGUAAAGCA